rnacentral:rRNA from 1 species
UUGAACGCUGGCGGUAUGCUUAACACAUGCAAGUCGAACGGAAACGAUACUAGCUUGCUAGUAGGCGUCGAGUGGCGGACGGGUGAGUAACGCGUAGGAAUCUGCCUGAUAGUGGGGGAUAGCCCGAAGAAAUUCGGAUUAAUACCGCAUAAUCUAUUCGUAGUAAAGUGGGGGACUUUCGAGCCUCACGCUAUCAGAUGAGCCUGCGUAAGAUUAGCUAGUUGGUAGAGUAAAAGCCUACCAAGGCAACGAUCUUUAGCUGGUCUGAGAGGAUGAUCAGCCACAUCGGGACUGAGACACGGCCCGAACUCCUACGGGAGGCAGCAGUGGGGAAUAUUGGACAAUGGGGGCAACCCUGAUCCAGCAAUACCGCGUGUGUGAAGAAGGCCUGAGGGUUGUAAAGCACUUUCAAUUGUGAAGAAAAGUUAACGGUUAAUAACCGUUAGCCUUGACGUUAACUUUAGAAGAAGCACCGGCUAACUCCGUGCCAGCAGCCGCGGUAAUACGGAGGGUGCAAGCGUUAAUCGGAAUUACUGGGCGUAAAGCGUGCGUAGGCGGUUUAUUAAGUCAGAUGUGAAAGCCCCGGGCUUAACCUGGGAACUGCAUUUGAAACUGGUCAACUAGAGUAUGGUAGAGGAAAGUGGAAUUUCUGGUGUAGCGGUGAAAUGCGUAGAUAUCAGAAGGAACAUCAAUGGCGAAGGCAGCUUUCUGGACCAAUACUGACGCUGAGGUACGAAAGCGUGGGUAGCAAACAGGAUUAGAUACCCUGGUAGUCCACGCCGUAAACGAUGAUAACUAGCCGUUGGGGGGAUUUACCCUUUAGUGGCGAAGCUAACGCGUUAAGUUAUCCGCCUGGGGAGUACGGCCGCAAGGUUAAAACUCAAAGGAAUUGACGGGGACCCGCACAAGCGGUGGAGCAUGUGGUUUAAUUCGAUGCAACGCGAAGAACCUUACCUGGUCUUGACAUCCUGCGAACUUUCUAGAAAUAGAUUGGUGCCUUCGGGAACGCAGUGACAGGUGCUGCAUGGCUGUCGUCAGCUCGUGUCGUGAGAUGUUGGGUUAAGUCCCGUAACGAGCGCAACCCCUAUCCUUAUUUGCCAGCACGUCAUGGUGGGAACUAUAAGGAGACUGCCGGUGAUAAACCGGAGGAAGGCGGGGACGACGUCAAGUCAUCAUGGCCCUUACGACUAGGGCUACACACGUGCUACAAUGGGAAGGACAAAGAGCCGCGAAGCCGCGAGGUGUAGCUAAUCUCAGAAACCUUUUCGUAGUCCGGAUUGGAGUCUGCAACUCGACUCCAUGAAGUCGGAAUCGCUAGUAAUCGUAGAUCAGAAUGCUACGGUGAAUACGUUCCCGGGUCUUGUACACACCGC